rnacentral:rRNA from 1 species
UACGUAGGGUGCAAGCGUUGUCCGGAAUUAUUGGGCGGAAAGAGCUCGUAGGCGGUUUGUCGCGUCUGCUGUGAAAACUCAGGGCUUAACUCUGAGCUUGCAGUGGGUACGGGCAGACUAGAGUGCGGUAGGGGAGACUGGAAUUCCUGGUGUAGCGGUGAAAUGCGCAGAUAUCAGGAGGAACACCGGUGGCGAAGGCGGGUCUCUGGGCCGACACUGACGCUGAGGCGCGAAAGCGUGGGGAGCAAACAGG